GAAUAAAACCCAUAAGCGGUGUCAUGGCGGAUUUGUAGUCUUUUUCGAUAACAACCUGGUUUGGAAACAUCGAGUGGGAUUUAGACAUGAACUACAUUUCCCAUCUGCCCCGGAUGUUCCCGCCCACCUAGUCAACGCGGAAGACCCACGGAAACAGCUGUGAUUGUCAGUAUUUACAUGUAUUAAGGUAAAAUGCCACGAAUGAUCAGCCGUCUCACAGACGCCGUGCAGUGUGGAACUUCUCAGAGUGACGAGACAUCACAGCUGGAACACAUCGGUCCAGAUAAAGAAUAUGGAACAACAACAUGCUAACAACAUCCAGAGGACACAGCACCAACCAACCAUCAAAAGGCCAACAGUGCUACACAAUCAUCAGCAGCUGAACAGGUUCACUGGAAAGGGGUGUUCCCAAAACUGAUGGGGAUGGACUCCUGUCCACACAAUAAUUACAAGAAUGUGUGUGCGCGCGUGUUUUCGUCAGAGCCGUAAUUUCCACUGGAAUUAAUAAAGAUUCAUCUUAUUUUAAUUUACGGAAGUGUAGUUUUCAUUCUUUACUGACAGACAGGUUUCUAUUUUAACAUGUGUUUACACAGCUGCUGGUUUGUGCAUUUGUUUUCUUGAUCAAUUCGAGGCACUCUGUCAUGCUGAAACUGCAUCAGGGAGAUAUUAUAACAUAAUACAAUAUAUAAAGCUAAACAUAUUCAGAUUUUUUAAAGCAUUAUUCGUGUUGACAUAAAUGGGUACAUAACACAUUUCUGGAAGCAUCUGAGAUAGGAACACUGGCUAAAGAACUGGCAGUUCCUCAUCGAAGGCAUCAUCAUCAUCUUUCAUGACAUACUCUGAGGUAAUACUAUAACUUAUUUGAGGACAGAUCAUCAUAUAUGGAUGUACACGGCCGUCCCAGAGUGUACUUACACUACUGUCUCAUAACGUUAUACAGAAAUCUAAUAUAAUCUACACUUCUGUACUUUUUUUUUUUUGAUAAAUAUAACUAAAUUUUUCAAGUCAAAACAAGCAUUUUACUCCAUGUCAUACCAUGUAUGGUUGUGUGUGUGUGUGAGAACAUUUAAACUAGAUUAACUCAUUCUCUCAUUCCACUGUUACGCUGAUGAUAGUCAGAUCUAUUUUCCUCUUAAAAAGAAAGAUGCCUACUCGGUGAGACCUUUACUUAGGUGUUUUGAGGAAAUAAAGUCCUGGUUGACCCUCAAUUUUUUUACAACUUAAUGAAAAAAAGACAGAGGUGAUGGUCUUUGGGGGAUCUUCUGAGAACCCUUUUGUGGAUCUGGGUUCUUUGUCCCAGUAUGUGAAACCAGUCAUCUCAAAUUUAGGUGUCAAAGUGGAUGCGGAUCUUAGGUUUGACAGUCAGAUUAGGGAUGUUGUUAAA